CCCUUAGAUGUUCUGGGCAGCACGCGCGCUACAAUGGUCUUCGCAAACGGAUGCAUUCUCGAAGGAGAAUGCCAAUCUUGGAAUCUAUGCCUUGGUCGGGACAGUUGCUUGCAAUUUUUCGACUCGAACCAGGAAUUCCUUGUAAUCGUGAUUCAUCACAUCACGAUGAAUACGUCCCCGCCCUUUGUACACACCGCCCGUCGCUCCUACCGAUCGAAGAGUUAGGUGAAUUGUUUUGAUCGAUAAGAUUUGACUAUGGUCAACUCUCGUUGUGAAAUUCUGUGAAUCUGACUGUUUAGAGGAAGGAAAAGUCGUAACA
rnacentral:rRNA from 1 species